CAGAGAAUAGUUUAAUUAAAAUAUUAAUUUUGGAGAUUAAUGAUGGGAGUUUUUUCUUUCUCUGA
rnacentral:tRNA from 1 species